rnacentral:rRNA from 1 species
UUGUCCGGAAUCACUGGGCGUAAAGGGCGCGUAGGCGGCCUGAUAAGUAGGGGGUGAAAUCCUGCGGCUUAACCGCAGGGCUGCCUUCUAAACUGUCAGGCUAGAGCACAGUAGAGGCAGGUGGAAUUCCCGGUGUAGCGGUGGAAUGCGUAGAGAUCGGGAGGAACACCGGUGGCGAAGGCGGGUCUCUGGGCAAUUCCUGACGCUGAGGCGCGAAAGCGUGGGGAGCAAACGGG